AUUGAACGCUGGCGGCAGGCCUAACACAUGCAAGUCGAGCGGAGCGGCGGACGGGUGAGUAAUGCCUAGGAAUCUGCCUGGUAGUGGGGGAUAACGUCCGGAAACGGGCGCUAAUAUCGCAUACUAUCAGAUGAGCCUAGGUCGGAUUAGCUAGUUGGUGGGGUAAAGGCCUACCAAGGCGACGAUCCGUACCUGGUCUGAGAGGAUGAUCAGUCACACGGGAACUGAGACACGGUCCAGACUCCUACGGGAGGCAGCAGUGGGGAAUAUUGGACAAUGGGCGAAAGCCUGAUCGAGCAAUGCCGCGUGAGUGAAGAAGGUCUUCGGAUUGUAAAGCACUUUAAGUUGGGAAGCGUUACCUAAAGAAUAAGCACCGGCUAACUUCGUGCCAGCAGCCGCGGUAAUAC
rnacentral:rRNA from 1 species